AGGACGAACGCUGGCGGCGUGCUUAACACAUGCAAGUCGAGCGGAAAGGCCCUUCGGGGUACUCGAGCGGCGAACGGGUGAGUAACACGUGAGCAACCUGCCCCUAGCUCUGGGAUAGCUCCGGGAAACCGGGAUUAAUACCAGAUACGACCACUUUAGACAUCUGCUGUGGUGGAAAGGAUUCCGGCUAGGGAUGGGCUCGCGGCCUAUCAGCUUGUUGGUGGAGUAACGGCCCACCAAGGCGACGACGGGUAGCCGGCCUGAGAGGGCGACCGGCCACACUGGGACUGAGACACGGCCCAGACUCCUACGGGAGGCAGCAGUGGGGAAUAUUGCGCAAUGGGCGAAAGCCUGACGCAGCGACGCCGCGUGGGGGAUGAAGGCCUUCGGGUUGUAAACCCCUUUCAGCAGGGACGAAGCGAAAGUGACGGUACCUGCAGAAGAAGCGCCGGCUAACUACGCGCCAGCAGCCGC
rnacentral:rRNA from 1 species